UCGAGAAUCUUCGGCAAUGGGCGAAAGCCUGACCGAGCGAUGCCGCGUGCGGGAUGAAGGCCUUAGGGUUGUAAAGCUCUUUUGGCGGGGAAGAUAAUGACGGUACCCGCAGAAUAAGCUCCGGCUAACUUCGUGCCAGCAGCCGCGGUAAUACGAAGGGAGCUAGCGUUGUUCGGAAUCACUGGGCGUAAAGCGCACGUAGGCGGAUGUGUCAGUCAGGGGUGAAAUCCCGGAGCUCAACUUCGGAACUGCCCUUGAUACAGCACGUCUUGAGUCCGAUAGAGGUGGGUGGAAUUCCUAGUGUAGAGGUGAAAUUCGUAGAUAUUAGGAAGAACACCGGUGGCGAAGGCGGCCCACUGGAUCGGUACUGACGCUGAGGUGCGAAAGCGUGGGGAGCAAACAGGAUUAGAUACCCCCGUAGUCCCUGAGCGGGCUGGCAAGGCGCAU
rnacentral:rRNA from 1 species